rnacentral:rRNA from 1 species
AGAGUUUGAUCCUGGCUCAGGAUUAACGCUAGCGGCAGGCCUAAUACAUGCAAGUCGAGGGGCAGCAGAUCAUUUCGGAGAAGAUGGCGACCGGCGCACGGGUGCGUAACGCGUAUGCAACCUACCCUUUACUUAGGGAUAGCCCGGAGAAAUCCGGAUUAAUACCUGAUGGCACGAUAUGAGGGCAUCUGAGAAUCGUUAAAGAUUUAUUGGUAAAGGAUGGGCAUGCGAACCAUUAGCUUGUUGGUAGGGUAGCGGCCUACCAAGGCAACGAUGGUUAGCGGGUCUGAGAGGAUGAUCCGCCACACUGGAACUGAAACACGGACCAGACUCCUACGGGAGGCAGCAGUGAGGAAUAUUGCGCAAUGGGGGCAACCCUGACGCAGCCAUGCCGCGUGUAGGAAGACGGCCUUCUGGGUUGUAAACUGCUUUUAUACGGGAGCAAAAUAGUUCUGCAUUGUUUUUUGACGGUACCAUCAAAAUAAGCACCGGCUAACUCCGUGCCAGCAGCCGCGGUAAUACGGAGGGUGCAAGCGUUGUCCGGAUUUAUUGGGUUUAAAGGGUGCGUAGGUGGCGUGUUAAGUCAGUGGUGAAAGCCUGCAGCUCAACUGUAGAGGUGCCAUUGAUACUGACAUGCUUGAGUAUGGACGAGGUAGGCGGAAUUUGUGGUGUAGCGGUGAAAUGCAUAGAUAUCAUAAAGAACACCAAUUGCGAAGGCAGCUUACUGGACAGAAACUGACGCUGAGGCACGAAAGCGUGGGUAGCGAACAGGAUUAGAUACCCUGGUAGUCCACGCCGUAAACGAUGAUUACUCGAUGUGUGCGAUACACAGUACGCGUCUUAGCGAAAGCGUUAAGUAAUCCACCUGGGGAGUACGCCGGCAACGGUGAAACUCAAAGGAAUUGACGGGGGCCCGCACAAGCGGUGGAGCAUGUGGUUUAAUUCGAUGAUACGCGAGGAACCUUACCUGGGCUCUAAUGUGAUUGACCGAUUCAGAAAUGGAUCUUUCCUUCGGGACAUGAAACAAGGUGCUGCAUGGUUGUCGUCAGCUCGUGCCGUGAGGUGUUGGGUUAAGUCCCGCAACGAGCGCAACCCCUAUUUCUAGUUGCCAGCACAUAAUGGUGGGGACUCUAGAGAAACUGCCCGCGCAAGCGGUGAGGAAGGUGGGGAUGACGUCAAAUCAUCAUGGCCCUUACGCCCAGGGCUACACACGUGCUACAAUGGUCAGUACAAAGGGUUGCAACAUAGUAAUAUGAAGCCAAUCCCAAAAAGCUGGUCUCAGUUCGGAUUGAGGUCUGCAACUCGACCUCAUGAAGUUGGAAUCGCUAGUAAUCGCGUAUCAGCAAUGACGCGGUGAAUACGUUCCCGGGCCUUGUACACACCGCCCGUCAAGCCAUGGAAGUUGGGUGUACCUGAAGAUGGUGACCGUUAAAGGAGCUAUUUAAGGUAAAACUAGUUACUAGAGCUAAGUCGGAACAAGGUAGCC